CAUUAGAUGACUGAAAGUAAGUAAUGGUCUCUUAAACCAAUUUAUAGUAACUAACGAAUACUUCUAAUGA
rnacentral:tRNA from 1 species